rnacentral:rRNA from 1 species
ACGUGUAGCAGUGAAAUGCGUAGAGAUGUGGAGGAAUACCGAUGGCGAAGNCAGCCUCCUGGGAUAACACUGACGUUCAUGCCCGAAAGCGUGGGUAGCAAACAGGAUUAGAUACCCUGGUAGUNCACGCCCUAAACGAUGUCGAUUAGCUGUUGGGCAGCAUGACUGCUUGGUAGCGAAGCUAACGCGUGAAAUCGACCGCCUGGGGAGUACGGUCGCAAGAUUAAAACUCAAAGGAAUUGACGGGGACCCGCACAAGCGGUGGAUGAUGUGGAUUAAUUCGAUGCAACGCGAAGAACCUUACCUGGUCUUGACAUGUACGGAACCCUUCAGAGACGGAGGGGUGCCUUCGGGAGCCGUAACACAGGUGCUGCAUGGCUGUCGUCAGCUCGUGUCGUGAGAUGUUGGGUUAAGUCCCGCAACGAGCGCAACCCUUGUCAUUAGUUGCCAUCAUUAAGUUGGGCACUCUAAUGAGACUGCCGGUGACAAGCCGGAGGAAGGUGGGGAUGACGUCAAGUCCUCAUGGCCCUUAUGACCAGGGCUUCACACGUCAUACAAUGGUCGGUACAGAGGGUAGCCAAGCCGCGAGGUGGAGCCAAUCUCACAAAACCGAUCGUAGUCCGGAUUGCACUCUGCAACUCGAGUGCAUGAAGUCGGAAUCGCUAGUAAUCGCAGGUCAGCAUACUGCGGUGAAUACGUUCCCGGGUCUUGUACACACCGCCCGUCACACCAUGGGAGUGGG